rnacentral:rRNA from 1 species
GCUCGUAUUUGGGUGUCAGAAGCUGAACUGGGCGCUGCCAUGCCAUUGUGUAUGUGUAGCAUUGCUCUAGUUUCACUUCUAAAAUGUCACCAUUCCUGCGUCGCGGAAGCCCAAUUGGUUUUGGGUGGCGCAUAUAAAGGAAGGUGUACAAAACUACUUUGAGAAAAUUAGCGUGCUUAACGCAGGCGCUCUUGCUUGUAUACUGUUGCAUGGAAUAAUGAGAUAGGACCUCGGUUCUGUUUCGUUGGUUUCCGGAAGCCGAGGUAAUGAUUGAUAGGGACAAACGGGGGCAUUCGUAUUGUGGUGUUAGAGGUGAAAUUCGAUGAUCACCGCAAGACGAACAACUGCGAAAGCAUUUGCCAAGAAUGUUUUCAUUAAUCAAGAACGAAAGUUAGAGUUUCGAAGACGAUUAGAUACCGUCCUAGUUCUAACUAUAAACUAUGCCAACUGGGCAUCUGGCGCUUGCAAGUAAGCAUCGCCAGGCACCCCGCGGGAAACCAAAGUUAUUGGGUUCCGGGGGGAGUAUGGUUGCAAAAUCGAAACUUUUAGGAAGUGACGGAGGGGCACCCCCAGAAAAAAAC